UUCAGGAAACAUUUGUCCUGCAGAGGCAAAUAGCAACAAACUUGCAGGGACUACACUACCCUGCAACAACUGAAACUAAAAGGCUAACAGCCACAAACUUGUAGGGACUUAACCACCCUAAUAUAGCAACAAACCUUAAGGGACUUAAAUGCCCUGAACAAACGACGACUAGUGCACUUCAUGAGGCACUCUUAAUCUUGAGCAAAGCAAAUACGACAGCUUAUCGAGGUGGCAACGACAAAUCAGGGGCAGAAUAGAGAAACCCAGCAGAAACGAAUUUAGUGAGAGAGGCGGCGGUAGGUGGUCGGCAAUAUGGAGGCCGGCGGCGGACAAUGACUGGUGGCGGGUAACGGUGGUGCACAACGGAGUAAUCAGCGAAGGCAGUAGGCUUUCUUGGAUUAUUCGAAAAAGAGACUUUCGGUCCCAAAGGGAAUGAGUUCGAAUCCCACUCUAAUGAGAAACACAGGUUAAUACUCAAACAAACUCUGAAUUUGAUAAUACUGGAAAGAAAAGGCCAGAACUUGACUAGGGCAACUGGAGCCCAUUAAAAACACAGGUUAAAGAAAAAAAUUUAGGGGACUGCCGGCGGCCAUGACGGCUGACCGCCGGCAGACAGCAAAAACGGAUCAGACAAGCUCUAAUACCAUGUUAGAAGUGAACUUUAAGCCUAACUCAACCCCACAAAACCGGCUUAUAGGGUGAGGUUUGCACCCACUUAUAUACACUUAAAUGGCCUCAUCUCUAGUCGAUGUGGGACUUCCAACACACCCCAAGGUAUAUACAUCUCGGGUGUGGGAUUAUACUUUUUAAUGGGUAGUCCGAUAGCGGCCCGAUAGCGGGUGGAUCAAUAUGCCCAACGACAACAGAAAUCGCUAGGAUGGGCUCCAGUCAUGGCUCUGAUACCAUGUUAAAUAAUGAGAAUCAUGCUUGAUAGGAGAAAGAGAGGCAAAAAAUAAUAUGUGUAUUAUCUUCCUUCUGCAUAAUGCAGAUACAAAUAUUUAUACAUCAAGAUUAUAACAGAAUUAGUUAUAAUUCUAUUU
rnacentral:lncRNA from 1 species